rnacentral:tRNA from 1 species
GGAGGGGUGGCAGAGAGGUCUAUCGCACCGCACUUGAAAUGCGGCGUGGGGUAAAUCCCACCGUGAGUUCGAAUCUCACCCCCUCCG